GAUGAACGCUAGCGGCAGGCCUAACACAUGCAAGUCGAGGGAGAGGUUACCUUCGGGUAACCAAGACCGGCGCACGGGUGCGUAACGCGUAUACAAUCUGCCUUUCACAUAGGGAUAGCCCGAAGAAAUUUGGAUUAAUACCUAAUGGUAUAUAAGAGCGGCAUCGUUUUUAUAUUAAAGCUACGGUGGUGAAAGAUGAGUAUGCGUUCUAUUAGCUAGUUGGAGAGGUAACGGCUCCCCAAGGCGACGAUAGAUAGGGGUUCUGAGAGGGAUGUCCCCCACACUGGUACUGAGAUACGGACCAGACUCCUACGGGAGGCAGCAGUGAGGAAUAUUGGACAAUGGUCGGAAGACUGAUCCAGCCAUGCCGCGUGCAGGAUGAAGGUCCUAUGGAUUGUAAACUGCUUUUGUAAGGGAAGAAUAAGGAGUACGUGUACUUUGAUGACGGUACCUUACGAAUAAGCAUCGGCUAACUCCGUG
rnacentral:rRNA from 1 species